UAGGGAAACCGAGUCUUAACCGGGCGUUAAGUUGCAGGGUAUAGACCCGAAACCCGGUGAUCUAGCCAUGGGCAGGUUGAAGGUUGGGUAACACUAACUGGAGGACCGAACCGACUAAUGUUGAAAAAUUAGCGGAUGACCUGUGGCUGGGGGUGAAAGGCCAAUCAAACCGGGAGAUAGCUGGUUCUCCCCGAAAGCUAUUUAGGUAGCGCCUCGUGAAUUCAUCUCCGGGGGUAGAGCACUGUUUCGGCUAGGGGGCCAUCCCGGCUUACCAACCCGAUGCAAACUGCGAAUACCGGAGAAUGUUAUCACGGGAGACACACGGCGGGUGCUAACGUCCGUCGUGAAGAGGGAAACAACCCAGACCGCCAGCUAAGGUCCCAAAGUCAUGGUUAAGUGGGAAACGAUGUGGGAAGGCCCAGACAGCCAGGAUGUUGGCUUAGAAGCAGCCAUCAUUUAAAGAAAGCGUAAUAGCUCACUGGUCGAGUCGGCCUGCGCGGAAGAUGUAACGGGGCUAAACCAUGCACCGAAGCUGCGGCAGCGAACGUAUCACCCAAGACAACUUUACGGAGUUGACGAUUGACGGAGCGAAGCGACGUCAAAGCGUUCAUUAAAGUCGAGUUGGCUUAGGGAUACGUUCGUUGGGUAGGGGAGCGUUCUGUAAGCCUGUGAAGGUGUGUCGUGAGGCAUGCUGGAGGUAUCAGAAGUGCGAAUGCUGACAUAAGUAACGAUAAAGCGGGUGAAAAGCCCGCUCGCCGGAAGACCAAGGGUUCCUGUCCAACGUUAAUCGGGGCAGGGUGAGUCGACCCCUAAGGCGAGGCCGAAAGGCGUAGUCGAUGGGAAACGGGUUAAUAUUCCCGUACUUGGUGUUACUGCGAAGGGGGGACGGAGAAGGCUAUGUUGGCCGGGCGACGGUUGUCCCGGUUUAAGCGUGUAGGUGUGUGUUCCAGGUAAAUCCGGUUCACUUUAACACUGAGGCGUGACGACGAGGCACUACGGUGCUGAAGCAACAAAUGCCCUGCUUCCAGGAAAAGCCUCUAAGCAUCAGGUAACACGAAAUCGUACCCCAAACCGACACAGGUGGUCAGGUAGAGAAUACCAAGGCGCUUGAGAGAACUCGGGUGAAGGAACUAGGCAAAAUGGUGCCGUAACUUCGGGAGAAGGCACGCUGACACGUAGGUGAAGUGAUUUACUCAUGGAGCUGAAGUCAGUCGAAGAUACCAGCUGGCUGCAACUGUUUAUUAAAAACACAGCACUGUGCAAACACGAAAGUGGACGUAUACGGUGUGACGCCUGCCCGGUGCCGGAA
rnacentral:rRNA from 1 species